GCCUUCGUGGUGUAACGGUAGCACACUAGGCUCUUAUUCCAGAGGUCUAAGGGUGAGUCCCGGCGAGGGCA
rnacentral:tRNA from 1 species